GUAUAACCAUAAAAUCCUUACAUGUCCAUUUUUAUAUGCGAAAGGAACAGCCGGGUAGAACGAAAUAUUUCACAGAAAGCGACCAUCCGAUAUGAAAUUAAUUUACCGGCUGAUCAGGCAUUCAAAUCCACUGAGCGCAAUCAAUUUUUUCCUGCUUUGUAAUUUUAUUUUUCUUGUGUCAAUAAUGAUUAUAUACGGUUGCAAAAUACGAAACGUUAUCGUCUUUCAAGACCGAAGAUUAUGUAUCCAUGCAAUAUUGAAAGCAGAAUAUCUUUAGAGGAGGCCGUUAAAACGGAUUAGAUAAAAUGUAACAUUGAAAUUAACGACGCGAAUGCAUAUUUAUACAAAGCUUUGAUUAAUGUCGUAUCUUCAGCAAAAUUUCGCGGAAUUAUGGAGGAAGGAGGGAGUUUGAGGGUUCGUAUCACGGGUAUAAAUAAAGUCCGCAGAAGCUACACGCCGCAAUUGAUACGUUUAGUUUUGACGAAGACUGACAUCAGUGUGAAAAUGAUCGGACAGUUCCAGUCGCUGUUUCUGCAGCUUGCGUGCGUCUUGACAGUUUUUGGAGUUUUGAGCUCAGCGGAAACGGACCUCCAGCUCAUAGGUGAUAAAAGAUCCCGUAUUGCCGAGAGAAGGCAUUGAACGAAAUUGAACGAACGUUACUUUCAGUCAAUCAGGCGCCGAGAUCCUACACCCCGUACAGAGACAAUACAGUUUCUUACAAGGUUUUCACCGAGGAGAGAACUUGGGAGGAAGCUGAGCAAAAGUGCAUCGAGGACGGAGCUCGUCUGGCUAUAAUCGACACCUAUGACAAAGUUCGCUUCGUAGGCGACAUAAAACCAUUCGUCUGCUACUUGUGGGUCGGCAUAAGAAGAUCAGGCCCUUCGGACGCGUGGACCAAGGCGCACAACGGUGCGCCGGUACCCAACGUUCCGUGGGCACCAACGCAACCCAACGGCACUCAAAACUGCAGCACGAUCCAAGGGUGCAACCUAGGAUUGGGCAACGAAGACUGCGCGGCUCGACUGGGUUUCGUAUGCGAAAAGCCGAUAAGCGGACAAGAGGGAACGUUCUCUCUCUCUCCAUCGAUGUCGCUGAAACAAGUGUGUCAGUUAAUCGCGUCUCCGUCAAUCCCAAAAAAAAAGGCAAUCGCGUCUCCGUCAAUCCCAAAAAAAAAGGCAAUCGCAUCUCUUCCGGACGGCUACGCCCCGAUUCUCAACUCAAGCGUGGCUUACAA